UCUAUGGUGUGGGGGACUCUGUCUUCCCACUGGGGUUCUAUGUCUUUACACACACACACAGUGAUAAAGUCUCAUGGAAUGUACAUCGCGUUUAACGCAAUACAAUACAACUUUCAGCAACGGAUCUCUUGGCUCUCGCAUCGAUGAAGAACGCAGCGAAAUGCGAUAAGUAAUGUGAAUUGCAGAAUUCAGUGAAUCAUCGAAUCUUUGAACGCACCUUGCGCCCUUUGGCUAUUCCGAAGGGCAUGCCUGUUUGAGUAUCAUGAACACCUCAACUCUCAUGGUUCGCCAUGACGAGCUUGGACUUUGGGGGUCUUGCUGGCCUAUGGUCAGCUCCUCUAAAAUGAAUCAGCUUGCCAGUGUUUGGUGGCAUCACAGGUGUGAUAACUAUCUACGCUUGUGAAUUUCCACCAGAUAACCUUCAGCAAUGAAGGUUCACCGGGGCUCAUAAAUGUCUCUCCUCAGCGGAGACGGCUCUUUUGAAUGUUUGAUCUCAAAUCAGGUAGGACUACCCGCUGAACUUA
rnacentral:rRNA from 1 species